rnacentral:rRNA from 1 species
CAAUGGGCGAAAGCCUGAUCCAGCCAUGCCGCGUGUGUGAAGAAGGUCUUCGGAUUGUAAAGCACUUUAAUUUGGGAAGAAAGGCAUUUACCUAAUACGUAAGUGUUUUGACGUUACCCACAGAAUAAACACCGGCUAACUNUGUGCCAACAGCCGCGGUAAUAA